AUACCCGCUGAACUUAAGCAUAUCAAUAAGCGGAGGAAAAGAAACCAACAGGGAUUGCCUCAGUAGCGGCGAGUGAAGCGGCAAAAGCUCAGAUUUGAAAUCGUGUUUCGGCACGAGUUGUAGAUUGCAGGUUGGAGUCUUUGUGGAAGCGUGUGUCUAAGUCCCUUGGAACAGGGUGCCAUUGAGGGUGAGAGCCCCGUGAGACGCGUGCGGAAGCUGUAAGGCCCUUCUGACGAGUCGAGUUGUUUGGGAAUGCAGCUCUAAGUGGGUGGUAAAUUCCAUCUAAGGCUAAAUAUUGGCGAGAGACCGAUAGCGAACAAGUACUGUGAAGGAAAGAUGAAAAGCACUUUGAAAAGAGAGUGAAACAGCACGUGAAAUUGUUGAAAGGGAAGGGUAUUGGGCUCGACAUGGGAUUUGCGCACCGCUGCUCCUUGUGGGCGGCGCUCUGUGCUUUUCCUGGGCCAGCAUCGGUUUUUGCCGCAGGAGAAGGCGUGCUGGAAUGUGGCUCUUCGGAGUGUUAUAGCCAGUGCGAGAUGCUGCGUGCGGG
rnacentral:rRNA from 1 species